rnacentral:rRNA from 1 species
UUGCUGCUAUUAGGAUUCGACUAAGCCAUGCAAGUCUGAUAUUUAUUUAUCGGCGGAAUGCUCAGUAACACGUCGCUAACUUAACCUAUGGUCAUUGAUAACUUCGGGAAACUGAGGGUAAACAAUGAUAGGGGAUUGUACCUGGAAUGGUCUUUCUCUGAAAUUCGUGCCAUAGGAUAGGGCGGCGGUCGAUUAGGUAGUUGGUGGUGUAAUGGACCACCAAGCCUACGAUCGAUACGGGCCUUGAGAGAGGUAGCCCGGAGAGGAACACUGAGAAACUGGUUCCAGCCCUACGGGGUGCAGCAGGCGCGAAACCUUUACAACGCACGCAAGUGUGAUAAGGGAAUCCUAAGUGCUCAUACUUUGUAUGGGCUUUUGUUAAGAGUAAAUAUCUUAGCGAAUAAGUGGUGGGUAAGACUGGUGCCAGCCGCCGCGGUAACACCAGCGCCACAAGUGGCAACCACGUUUAUUGGGCCAAAGCGUCCGUAGCCGGUUUGGUAAAUCUCUUGUGAAAUCGACAAGCUUAACUUGUCGGCGUGCUUGAGACACUGCCAAACUCGAGACCGGGAGGAGUCAGAGGUAUUCCAGGGGGAGCGGUAAAAUGUGAUAAUCCUUGGAGGACCAUCUAUGGCGAAGGCAUCUGACCAGAACGGAUCUGACGGUGAGGGACGAAGGCUAGGGGAGCGAUCCGGAUUAGAUACCCGAGUAGUCCUAGCAGUAAACGCUGUGAGCAAGAUGUUACGCAUCUUUUGAGGAUGCGUAGUGUCGAAAUGAAGAUGUUAAGCUCACCGCCUGGGAAGUACGGUCGCAAGACUGAAACUUUAAGGAAUUGGCGGGGGCGCACCACCAGGGGUGCGGCGUGCGGUUUAAUCUAACGAUACACAGAGAACCUUACUAGAAGCGACGGCAGGAAGAAGGUCAGCCUGAAGGGCUUACCCGACGAGCCGAGAGGUAGUGCAUGGCCGCCGUCAGCUCGUGCCGUAAGGUGUCCAGUUAAAUCUGGCAACGAGCGAGACCUAUACCCUCUAUUGCUAACAGCUACAUGUAGGACUGAGCACUUUGAGGGGACUGCCUUGG